rnacentral:misc_RNA from 1 species
CAACCCUCAAGCCCUCGUGUGCUUGGUGUUGGGGCACAGCCUGUAGAAGGGCUGGCCCUGAAAUUCAGUGGCGUGCUCGCUAAGACUCCGAGCGUAGUAAUUUUUUCUCGCUUAGGUUGGAUUAGCGGUGCGUAGCCGUAAAACCCCCUAAUAUUUUCUGAA